rnacentral:rRNA from 1 species
GACAGAGGGUGCAAACGUUGUUCGGAAUUACUGGGCGUAAAGCGCGUGUAGGCUGCUUGGCAAGUCGGGUGUGAAAGCCCUGAGCUCAACUCAGGAAGUGCACUCGAAACUUCCGAGCUCGAGUCCUGGAGAGGGUGGCGGAAUUCUCGGUGUAGAGGUGAAAUUCGUAGAUAUCGAGAGGAACACCGGUGGCGAAGGCGGCUACCUGGACAGUGACUGACGCUGAGACGCGAAAGCGUGGGGAGCAAACAGG